rnacentral:rRNA from 1 species
GUAGGGAAUAUUGCGCAAUGGACGAAAGUCUGACGCAGCGACGCCGCGUGAGUGAUGAAGGCCUUAGGGUCGUAAAGCUCUGUUGAAUGGGAAGAAAAAAAUGACGGUACCAUUCGAGGAAGGACCGGCUAACUUCGUGCCAGCAGCCGCGGUAAUACGAGGGGUCCUAGCGUUGUUCGGAAUCAUUGGUCGUACAGGGUGUGUAGGUGGCCAUGUAAGUCAGGUGUGAAAGCCCCGGGCUCAACCCGGGAAGUGCACUUGAUACUGCGUGGCUUGAGUACCGAAGAGGGUAGUGGAAUUCCAGGUGUAGGGGUGAAGUACGUAGAUAUCUGGAGGAACACCGGUGGCGAAGGCGGCUACCUGGUCGAGUACUGACACUGAGACACGAAAGCAUGGGGAUCAAACAGGAUUAGAAACCCGAGUAGUCC